UUUCAUAAUGCAUUCUAUUUCACCCUCUUCACCAAACUAUGCAGGGCAGCUAAGUACUUUGAAAGCUUUGAGGAGGUAUUUCUAUUUAUGAGGGCAAAGGCAAUAUGUAGACAUCCCUUUAUAAAGUAGAUCUGAAUCAGCAUUAAAAAAACCUGUUAGAAGUAAAGCAGCAGCUUAUUAAAAAGGACUUUAGUGACAGAUGAUUUUAGCAAAGCCACCAAUAUUUGAAAUUACUGGGAAGUACCCAGCAACACCACAAAAUUACAUGAGGAGACAAAUACCACAGCCUAUCUCUGCAGUCUUCAAGAUUUUGCUGGAUUUGCAACGUGGCAAUUAUUCCCAGGGAAAUGUAAGAGAUCUCUCAUGUUCCCCUUGGAGCCCUCAGCCUUUGCCACAGAAUCCCAGCUUUUUUCUUUAUGCCUUUUAUAUGUUUCUGAAAGCAUCCUAAAAACAUAUGCUUUUAAUCUCCUUUGAGUCAUCAAAGAGUUUAAAACAACACUCCUGAGAGCCUGGGGACAGAAGUGAUGCUGUGCCACCAUGAAAUCUGACAUUUUGCUAAGGAUUUGAGAAAGAAGCCAGCACAACAGCACUGUUAUAUGUGGCCUUAUUUUUCCUCUGCACAUCAGAUAUCCUAACAAAUGCAGAAGCAGAGACAGUGUUGCCUCUCCCAGCUUUAAUGCUGCUCAUAUUUAUGGUAGCUCUCCUCAAAUACACAUGGCUUUUGCUGGGCUUGGCUUCCCCACAAAGUUGCUGUCUGUAGGUUUAGGAGUUGAAAUUCUGGAUCAUCACCUCCAAGGGUAAAUAUGAAUAACAAUGGUAACUGUGCUGAUGAUUUAAGAAGUGAUGUAAAAAGUAUGACUUGAGGAGCAGUGACAGCAGCUCGUCCAUCCUACCUCUGAUGCUUUAUUAAAGGCUUAAGCAAACAUACAAACCUAGACAAGCUCAGCAAACAAUUACCCAGCAAAGCCUGACUUCUGGAAUUUUUUUAAUAAAAGUUGCUAAAACAGCACCUUUAGAACUGUGGGGUUUGCUACACCUGAUGUAGUUUGCAUGGCAAUGGAAUGGAAAGUCAGGGAAACAUCCAAAAGGCCACACUUUAAAUUUGUGCCCCUUCUUGUGUGAGAGUCUGAAUUUGCAGGGUUCAAACUACUUGGAAGGAAACUUUUUGUUGUAGCUGUUCUGUGUUAUCCUGGUCCAUGGCUGAGGCUCAUGGGCUGCUUCUCUCUGGUCUCUGCCCCUGUGUGGGAGGUCAGAGCAUGGUUCUACUGCUCCAUCUCAUUGGCUUAACCUUUCUCCCCCAUCUCUUAGCUCUGCCACCGUGCUGGAUAGAUCAUUCACCUGGUCACAUCUUCUACAGCUUUCAUCUCUCCUACUGUCCAACACCACUGCCAGGUUCUGGCAUUCCCUGCAGUCCGAGAAUUUGGCAUCUGCAUAUUUUCCUGAGGGCUCCAUCUGUGAGGUUAUCUGAGUCUGGUUAUAUGGGACUGCUUCAGAAUCAAACCACUUUAAACUCAUCUUGCAGUACAGAAACAUCCCUGAUGCUCCUGAAGAAAUGAGAAAGAGGAAAGAAAGCAGAUAUGCACUUUAUAAACACUCUUGGAUGACGUGUACAAAAGUGCAUACAGGGAUUUUCACAGGCUAUAGAAAAGAGAGUUCAAACUGACCAAGAAAUAGAUAAAACCAGUAAUCUUCAGGAUGCUAUCUGCAGUAAAGAUUAUGUAUUGCAGAUUACAAUCUAUGCUAAAAAGGGUAUCUUCUUUGCUAUGGCAAAAGAACGGUUGAACCUUCCACAUUUCCAAGCUCACAUGUGGGCACGAUAAAAUCUUAACAACAUGCCAUUAAAU